AGCAAGUUAAAGUCUGUCCAGAGAGUCCUAGGAGGAGAAGCAGAAAUGGCCUAUAUCAUCAAUGGAGAGGAAGUGCUGGCUCUUUUUUCUUCCUGGACAUAAACUGCUCUAUCUCCCUUCUCUGGAACAUUCAACUCAUGGCAGGCAUCACCUUAUUUUAUUGGAAUAUCUCCCUGCAGCACCACUUGGGCUACAGUCAGGGAAUCAAAAUAUGCUAGGAAUUAGGGUGGUCAGGUCACAUUCGUACUCUGGCUACCACUGUACACCCUCCCACCAAGAAAAUCCUUAAAAACAACUGCAAGGACAGCCUCAUAGUCCUUUCAAGGCAUAAAAUAAAAUUAAUGAUGGAGACCAGAAA